GGGACUGAGGAGGAGAUAUUUAUUUUAGCUUGGGAAGCUGGGAAGGAGACCUCCAAAGGUCUUCUUCUCUCUCUUACCUGGCCAGAAACUAAGUCCCUUCCCUUUGGACAUAUAGAUAGGGAGGUGAAUCGGUAGGUAGAUAGAUAGAAACGUGGGUAGGUAAAUAGAUGAGUAGAUAAAUAGGUAUGUAGAAAGUUGUGUAGGUAGGUAGGUAAAUAGGUAGGUUGAUAAGUAGAAAAGUAGGUAGGCAGAAAAAUGAGUAGUUUGGUAGGUAGAAAGGUAAGUUGGAAGAUAGAUGGUUAAGUAGAUAAAUAGAUAGGGAGGCGAAUAGGUAGAUUGAUAGAAAGGUGGGUAGGUAAAUAGAUGAGUAGAUAAAUAGGUAUGUAGAAAGUUGUGUAGGUAGGUAGAUAAAUAGGUAGGUUGUAGGUAGGCAGAAAAAUGAGUAGUUCGGUAGGUAGAAAGGUAAGUAGGUAGAUAGAUGGUUAAGUAGAUAAAUAGAGGUGAAUAGGUAAGUAGAUAGAUAGAAAAGUGAGUAGGUAGGUAGGUAGAAAGGUAAGUAGGUAGAUAGAUGGUUAAGUAGAUAAAUAGAGGUGAAUAGGUAAGUAGAUAGAUAGAAAAGUGAGUAGGUAGGUAGGUAGAAAGGUAAGUAGGUAGAUAGAUGGUUUAGAUAAAUAGAGAGGUGAAUAGGUAGGUAGAUAGAUAGAAAAGUGAGUAGGUAGGUAGGUAGAAAGGUAAGUAGGUAGAUAGAUGGUUAAGUAGAUAAAUAGAUAGGAAUAGGUAGGUAGAUAGAAAAGUGAGUAGGUAGGUAGGUAGAAAGGUAAGUAGGUAGAUAGAUGGUUAGGUAGAUAAAUAGAUAGGAAUAGGUAGGUAGAUAGAAAAGUGAGUAAGUAGGCAGGUAGGUAGAAAGGUAAGUAGGUAGAUAGGUGGUUAGGUAGAUAAAUAGAUAGGGAGGUGAAUAGGUAGGUAGAUAGAAAAGUGAGUAAGUAGGUAGGUAGGUAGAAAGGUAAGUAGGUAGAUAGGUGGUUAGGUAGAUAAAUAGAUAGGGAGGUGAAUAGGUAGGUAGAUAGAAAAGUGAGUAAGUAGGUAGGUAGGUAGAAAGGUAAGUAGGUAGAUAGGUGGUUAGGUAGAUAAAUAGAUAGGGAGGUGAAUAGGUAGGUAGAUAGAAAAGUGAGUAGGUAGGUAGGUAGAAAGGUAAGUAGGUAGAUAGAUGGUUAAGUAGAUAAAUAGAGGUGAAUAGGUAAGUAGAUAGAUAGAAAAGUGAGUAGGUAGGUAGGUAGAAAGGUAAGUAGAUAGAUAGAUGGUUAAGUAGAUAAAUAGAUAGGAAUAGGUAGGUAGAUAGAAAAGUGAGUAAGUAGGUAGGUAGGUAGAAAGGUAAGUAGGUAGAUAGGUGGUUAGGUAGAUAAAUAGGGAGGUGAAUAGGUAGGUAGAUAGAAAAGUGAGUAGGUAGGUAGGUAGAAAGGUAAGUAGGUAGAUAGGUGGUUAGGUAGGUAAAUAGAUAGGGAGGUGAAUAGGUAGGUAGUUAGAUAGAAAAGUGAGUAGGUAGGUAAGUAGAAAGGUAAGUAGGUAGAUAGAUGGUUAGGUAGAUUAAUAGAUGGGAAUAGGUAGGUAGGUAGAUAGAAAAGUGAGUAGGUAGGUAGGUAGAAAGGUAAGUAGGUAGAUAGAUGGCUAGAUAGAUAAAUAAAUAGGCAGGGAGGUGAAUAAGUAGUUAGACAGAAAAGUGAGUAGGUAAGUAGGUAGAAAGGUAGGUAGGUAGACAGGUAAAUAAAUAAAUGCUGUGUUCGAGUCCUUUUCGUUGGAGGUUUUUAAGCAAAGGGCAGAGGAAGGGACUGGAUUGUGGAUUCCUAGAUGGCGGAAAGGGGGUGGACUAGAUGGCCUUUGGGGCCCCUUCCCAUUCUGUGCCGGACUCACUGCUGCCCAGGGUGGUGACCAAGAUGGGCCGGGAGU